rnacentral:misc_RNA from 1 species
UUGUAUACUAUCUUUUAAAGAUAAUCUUUAUCUGUAUUAUAUGUGUCACAGAUAAAGAUAAUCUUUAUCUGUGUUUACUGUUUACAUAAGUUUAUAACCAUUGCUAAUGUUAGCUUGUUGCUUAUAAAUAUAUUAUCUUUAUAUUUUAAUAGUUAUAUUUUUAUUGUUUAUAUUUAUUUUGUGAGUACAGUAAUUGCACCUUAAGCAGAGCAGCUUUGAUAAUUGUUACAUUAGUAACUUACUGUUGACAAUUUUAAGUUAUUGUGUACAAUUUUUUUUUUCUUUAGUCGAAUCUACACAGCCUACCACUGUUACAUCUUCGUCUUCAACGAAUGUUCCUUCUACUUCUGCUAUAAGUGGUAUGUUUACAAAUUUUUACUUUUCAAUAUGUUUAAGCAUUUCUUGGCAAUUCGGUAUCUGUUUUAAUUACAACUUUGAUAACCUUUAGUUACAUCUUCAGCGGCUAUUAUAAGUAGUAAGUUUAAAAACUAUUAUUUGCAAUGUAUACACCUCUACCUCUGUACAUGUAUACACCUCUCUUUAUCAAUUGCAAAUUAUUAUAACACUUUUUUUUCAUCUUUAGUUCCAUGUGCACAACUUUCUACUGGUAAAUUUAUGAUUUAGAAAUGUUUCUGAAUGGUUAUUGAAUUUAUGUUCCUAUUUAUAUACACUUUAAUUCAUUAGUAUUGUGUUAUCCCUCAAAGUGUGGUAUAAUGAAAUUAUUACUCUCAUUAACAUUUUUUUAAGCUAUCAUUGAUUAUAUAUGUUGUUCAUAUUAUUUAUUCAUCCUAUCACUUUCACUAAUCAUUGUUUUAUAUUACAUUUUAAAGCAGAACAGCUUUAAUGAUUGUUACAUCUGUAACUUACUGUUGAGAAUUUCAAAUUAUUUUGUAUACAAUUUUUUUUUAACUAUUUUUUGUUGAAUCUACACAGACAAUCACUGGUAAGUUUGUAUGUGUUAAUGAUUAUAGAGAUAAUUAUCUAGUACUUUUUAAUCUGUGGAUAGAUUUCAAAGAUUACCAAUUUCAAAGUCAGUAUUUAAUUUUUUAAUUUUUUAUUACAAAUUUUGAAUUUUUGGUUAUAUCUUCGCCUUCAAGGAAUGUCCCUUCUACAUCUGCUACAAGUGGUAUGUUUGGUUUAUGGUGGAUACUCCAACUUGCAUUUUGUAAUGUGGUUCAAAUAUUUAUAAGAAUGUAGCAUUUCACUACGAGGAUGUUAAAACGUAACGAAGACAUCCACCCUUCAAUCUAAAAUAGACCACUAAUAUUUGGAAAUGAAGUGGAAGCAAAUUAGAACAAUUUUUUGUGUAUAAAGAUGACAUAUUUUAUCAGAAAAACACUCUUUCGUGUAAAAAACUUGUAUUUUUCUAAGGGUACGAGGGUGUUCCGUACCCCCUCCGGUCCUCUAGACACAUCUUUUAUCUAUAGAGUUAUAUAAACUUGUAGCCUACUUUUUCAUCUAUCUUUUGAUACCAAGAUAUAGACAUUUGGAUGAGAUUUGACAAAGUUAUAACAAUUUUAGUGAGAAAAAAAAUAAUUUUGGAACCAGUUUCUUCAAUAAAUCCAUAUAUCGGAAAUUUGCUACUAAAAACGCUAUAACUUUUUAUAGAAUUGUCCGAUUUUCAUAAUUUUUUCACCUUUAAAAUACUGUAUUUAAGGGCUUUCUAAUGAUGUAUAAUAUUCUAGUAUUUAAUUAAUUUAAAAAAAUCA